AGAGCACAAGACAGACGAGGAGUCAUCCCCUCUACCCGCACCCAGUGUCGGCUUUGUGGAUACUUCCUCCUCCAGCUGUCCUGCCUCCCGCCCCUCCUCCAUCAGACAAGGCCUCUGUGUGUUGGAAACCCCCGAGAUGGGGUCUGGCUGCGUUGCCCAGGCUGGUCUUAAACUCCUGGACUCAAACAAUCCUCCUACCUUGGCCUCCCAAAGUGCUGGGAUUACAGGUGUGAACCAUCAUGCUCGGCCUGGAUUGGAUUCUUAAGAUGUUGAUUUGAAGCCCUGGGCCCUGGGCUGGUUGCUAAGGCUACGGAGCUGGCUGGAAGGAUUGCUGGUUGGAAGAGGUGGGGCUGCACAGGGUUCCUGGCCCUGCUGCUCCUACCUGUGCUGAUGCCCUCCCUCCUUUGUCCACAGCCCCUUCUCACCAGAGCAAAAAGGGAUUACGGAGCGCAUUGGUUUUUCAAAUCGUUUUUUCUUUUUUCUUUUUUUUUUUUUUUUAAAGCAAGAAGCUGUUUGUAAAAAUAAGUAAUAAUGAUGGAAUUCUUACUAUGGCCUGAGAACAAUUUUAGCUCCCAACAAUCCUGUGAUUCUACCAUUAUGUCCAUUUUGCAGCUGAAGCAAUUGAGAAAAGGAGGUUAAAUAAUGUUCCUAAU